GAUGAACGCUGGCGGCGUGCCUAAUACAUGCAAGUCGAGCGAACAGACGAGGAGCUUGCUCCUCUGACGUUAGCGGCGGACGGGUGAGUAACACGUGGAUAACCUACCUAUAAGACUGGGAUAACUUCGGGAAACCGGAGCUAAUACCGGAUAAUAUAUUGAACCGCAUGGUUCAAUAGUGAAAGACGGUUUUGCUGUCACUUAUAGAUGGAUCCGCGCCGCAUUAGCUAGUUGGUAAGGUAACGCCUUACCAAGGCAACGAUGCGUAGCCGACCUGAGAGGGUGAUCGGCCACACUGGAACUGAGACACGGUCCAGACUCCUACGGGAGGCAGCAGUAGGGAAUCUUCCGCAAUGGGCGAAAGCCUGACGGAGCAACGCCGCGUGAGUGAUGAAGGUCUUCGGAUCGUAAAACUCUGUUAUUAGGGAAGAACAAAUGUGUAAGUAACUAUGCACGUCUUGACGGUACCUAAUCAGAAAGCCACGGGUAACUACGUG
rnacentral:rRNA from 1 species